UACGUAGGGCGCAAGCGUUGUCCGGAAUUAUUGGGCGUAAAGAGCUCGUAGGCGGCUUGUCACGUCGGGUGUGAAAGCCCGGGGCUUAACCCCGGGUCUGCAUUCGAUACGGGCUGGCUAGAGUGUGGUAGGGGAGAUCGGAAUUCCUGGUGUAGCGGUGAAGUGCGCAGAUAUCAGGAGGAACACCGGUGGCGAAGGCGGAUCUCUGGGCCAUUACUGACGCUGAGGAGCGAAAGCGUGGGGAGCGAACAGG
rnacentral:rRNA from 1 species